CAGGACCCCGCCCAGGGCGCGCUACACCGCCCCGCCCCGAGCCACACCCACAGGUCCCAGGACCCCGCCCAGCGAGCGCGCUCCGCCGCCAGGCCCCGCCCAGGGUGGGCGCCUUCUUGGCCGCAGGCUAGGUUCUCCGUGGGGCAGACCCAACGCCUCUCCGCCGUCCUCCCCCGAACUGGUGGUUACGCAGGCCGCGAGUUACCAUGAGCACGGCUGGGAUGCUGACGGGGAAAGAGGUGACGGAGAACGGGGACGGCAUGGUGCCGAGAAGCCCGCCCUCACAGCAACCGCCGAACCCGGCCUGGCCACAAUCCACGGAGGAGGGCGCCAAAUCUUCUCUCGUGAGAUCUGCGCUUCUCACGAAACCUGCGCUUCCUUCUUCUCGCGGUGAAGACUGAACAUUAGACUUCCCACGAUUGCAGAACUGUCCUUCGCGGCAGCUGUAAAAUCGCGGCAAGGCUGGAUUCAUUCUGGCGGUGGGUGCAGGCCCUAAUUCCCGUCACUGAGCAGGGAUACAGCAGGAAGCUCCACCUCUGAGCACAGAUUACCCCACAGCAAGAGCCCCUACAGAAGCCCCCACGUCAUGCUUGCCGUCUGCCUUCCAUCUUUCUCAACAAAGAAGGAGACCAGAUUUGGAAUAGUGGAACACAAUUUUUUAAAAGUUGGCAACUCCUGGAAGCCACUGUAGUGACUCAGAAUCAACAUUCUCAGGACCCCAUCCGGGAUGCCACUGUGUAUGCAGUUGUCACAUCUCCCUAGACCCCUAUCCGCUGGCAGUUUCUCAGAUUUUCCUUGUUUUCAAUGAUUGGGAUAGUUUUGAAGAGUAAUGGUCAGUCUAUCGGCAAGACUUGAGAAAAUCGCAGUGACCUUUCUGCCUUCAGCUACCUCCCUUUGUCCUGUCUCUUUGCAAUCACGUAUUUUUUUCCAAUAUGUGAUUCCAAUAAUUACAUCUUCAGUGUUGCUGAAGCAAUUUGACAAAUAGAACAAUGAGAGUCCUCCGGGGAAGAUCUUCCUCCUCUGGAUCCCCUACGCUGAGCCCGUAUGACCCUGAGUGGGUGGGUGCACACUGUGAGCCCUGAGUGGGUGCACACACGCGUCUCACACGCAAACGAGUCCAUGAAGGAAAAGCCUGGACUGAGCUCCGAGUCCUGCCUGGGAGCUGCUCGUGGCUUCCGGGGCAGGCAGGAAUCUCCAAGCCUCCUCCUGGGUGAUGGGGAGAGGCCAGUCAGCGUCUAACUGCAAAUCACGGGUGGGAACGACCACAGUUUCAGAUCCCAGAACGGGGUUUUCUUAGCACAAGCAGCGCCUAGCACAGUGCCGAAAGCCAAGUCGAGGUGAUGAGCCUCGGGCGGGGGUUAGAGGGGAGACGGUGCAGGGAACCCACAGUACCAGACGGGGCCAUGUCCCCUGAGCAAAACCUGGAAUGGAGACAGCAGCUUUGGCCUGGCGCAGCCUGUGGCUGAGCCCCGCUGGAGAGAUACGGGGCUGUGUGUCGCGGCUCUGGACGGAAAUCCUCUUUCCUCCCUUCCUGGCUCGGUCUUUCUUCCAGACGGCGCUGGGCCUGCUGCUGUGUCGUCUCACAUGAGUGGCAGUGUCUGUUCUGAGGCGUCUUCCUGUUCGUCCUUCCUGUCAGCCCUGAGCAUUCCUUUACCAUCAGCAGAUUCCAUGCUGCAUUUUUAUACACACUGUCGUGUAAAAUACACACAUUGCCCAUUUUAACAAUUUUGAAGUGCACUGUUCAGUGACAAUAAGCACAUUCACGCUGUGGUGCCGCGGACACCUCUUCCAUCUCCAGAACGGUCCACCUUCUCCCCCGGAAACGCCGCACCCGUUAAACGACAGCGCCCCCUGCCGCCCCGCAGCCCGGAAGCCCUCGCUUUACCUUCAGUCUCUGGAAACUUCACUGCUGUAGAUUCCUCGCAGACGUGAAAUCCUGCAGCGUUUGUCUUUUUGUGACUUGGCAUAAUGUUUUCCAUGUUUUUGGGUUGAAGCCAUGUGGAAGUAGGUGCCAGCAUUGCCCUGCUUUUUAAGGCUGGAUAACAUUUCACCAUCUGUGUGCCCCACACCGUGUUUACUCGUUCAUCCAGCAAUGGCUUCUGGGUUGAUUCCAGGUUUCCACUAUUCUGCGUGGUGCUGCCAGGAGCAGUGGUGCACGGAUCCCUCCUAUCUGAAUCCCAGUCUUCGUUUUUCAUUUCUGUUUGUUAGAAUAUACCCAGAAGUGGAAUCGCUGGUCAUAUGGUAAUUCUGUUUAGUUUUUUGAGGUAAUUCUGUUUAGUUUUUAGUCUCUUCUGCUAUUUUUGAGGAGUCUUCACACAGUUCUCCCCAGUGACCACACUAUAUUAUAUUCCUCUCCAUACAGUACUCCAUAGUGACCACACUAUAUUAUAUUCCUCUCCAUACAGUUAUCACAGUGACCACACUAUAUUAUAUUCCUCUCCAUACAUUUCCCUACAGUGACCGUGCUAUGUUAUAUUCCUCUCCAUACAGUUCUCCAUAGUGAACACACUAUGUUAUAUUCCUCUCCAUAUACUUCUCCACAGUGACCAACUAUAUUAUAUUCCUCUCCAUACAGUUCUCCAUAGUGAACACACUAUAUUAUAUUCCUCUCCAUACAGUUCCCCACAGUGACCAACUAUAUUAUAUUCCUCUUCACACAGUUCCCUUAGUGACUGCACUGUAUUGUGUUUCUACCAUGAAUGCUUAAUUGUCCUGAUUCCUCCACAACCCAACAAAUGCUUGUUAUCUUAUGUUUUGUCUGUAUGUUUUUAAACAUUAGCUGUCUUACUGGGUAUGAAAAUUUGUGUGUGUGUGUGUGGGUGUGUGUGUGUGAAGUAUAUUUAUAUCAUAUUUUCAUUGCUUUUUUUCCUACCCUAAUAGAUUGAAGCUCAAAUUCAAGAAUCAUCUCCAUGUGUACCUGCCAUAGACCGAAUGUGUCCCCUAAAUCCACAGUUGGAAACCUAAUGGUCAAAGUGAUGGUAUUGGGAGGUGUGGGACAUUUGGGAGGUGAUUAGGUUUUGCAGGUGGAGCCUCAUGAAUCAUCAUGAUAAGAUUAGUGCCCUUAUGAAAGGGACCCAGAGAGUACCCCGUCUCUUCUGCUAUGUGAGGACACAGGAAAAAGGCACUGUCCGGAAACCAGAAAGCGGCCCUCACCCGACAGCAGAUGCACCACUGUCUCGAUCUCGAACCUCCGGCCUCCAGAACUGGGAGAACAGGCCAUCUCGUUUAUGGAAUUUUCUUAGAGAAGCUCAAAUUCACUAAGACAGUGUUCUCACACAUUGCUUAUGCAUUAGCCCAAGGACUGGCACUUAAUGUACAUUUUGCUGAAUGACCUGACAUAAAAUGGAAGGCAAAUUUAUCCUGUGAUGACUUAGGUGUACUGAGAAUAUAAAGACCUGUAAUUCUGAUGAAAGUAGUCAAAGUAAUAUAUCUUUUACACGUGAUGAUGUAAGCAUUUAUGACAAAAAAUUUCAAGAACAUGAGAGUAGACAGAAGCAUAGUAAACUCCUAUGUGUCUAACUCCAGCUUUAGCAACUA